GAUUCCCUUAGUAACGGCGAGCGAAAAGGGAAGAGUCCAGCGCCAAGUCUUGACGCCUCGAUGCGUUCAAGAGAUGCGGCGUUAAUGUGUUGGCGCAUCGUGCGUUGCUCCGCGUUUCAAGUUCCUUUGACAGGGACAUCCAGAGCGGGUGCUAGGCCCAUAGAAAUGAGGAGCUGACGUACGCAGGCCAAUGCAUUCUAGAGUCAGGUUGCUUGAGAGUGCAGCCUAAAGUCGGUGGUAAACUCCAUCCAAGACUAAAUAUGACAGCGAGACCGAUAGCAAACAAGUACCUUGAGGGAAAGUUGCAAAGCACUUUGAAGAGAGAGUUCAAUAGUACGUGAAACCACUGGGAGGCAAACAGAUGGAACCACGAAGUGUGCGCCCCGGUCGAUUCAAUCACCACUUCCGGUUGGCUGUGUUUGUCAUGGAUCUUUCAGGAGAUUGGGCAAACGCCGUCUGCAACCGGCGGUGUUGGUGCAUUUCGAUCCGGGGAUGCUAAGCCACGUUCGACUAGAGCUGGGGCGGCCGUAGGGCAGGAUCCAGGAAAGGUGCCCGUCAAGUGCUUGCAUUUGACGGCGUUAUAGUCUUGGAUCGGAACCGUCGCCUAGCAUACUGGUCGAUGCAAGUACUCCGUUUGGAGUGARGCUGCGUUUGCCUCCGRUCAUUAGCAGGUGUUUCGCGGCGUUCUUUACGUAUCUUACGGUGCGAAAAGCCGCUGCAACAAUGCCUGUUAGUGGUUGGUUGCGUAACGUGGCAGAACUGUGGCGCGAGUAGGUCGGUCUUCAUCUGACCCGUCUUGAAACACGGACCAAGGAGCCUAACAUGUACGCGAGUCGCUCGGUCUUGAAUAGGCCCGGGAGGCGAAAUGAAAGUAAAGCUACGAGGCCGUAACUGGUCGCAGUAGUGGCUCGCCCACUUCGUUUAUUGGCGAUCUGGCGAAGCUGGAGCGUAUACGUUGGUACCCGAAAGAUGGUGAACUAUGCCUGGGCAAGACGAAGCCAGAGGAAACUCUGGUGGAGGUCUGUAGCGAUUCUGACGUGCAAAUCGAUCGUCAGACCUGGGUAUAGGGGCGAAAGACUAAUCGAACCAUCUAGUAGCUGGUUCCCUCCGAAGUUUCCCUCAGGAUAGCAGGCGCUUUAGACUCAGUCUCAUCCGGUAAAGCUAAUGAUUAGAGGUCUUGGGGUUGAAACGACCUCAACCUAUUCUCAAACUUUAAAUGGGUGAGAUGGUUGACUUUCUUGAUUGAAGCCAACCAUUUUGGAUGUGAGUGCCUAGUGGGCCAGCUUUGGUAAGCAGAACUGGCGCUGUGGGAUGAACCAAACGUCGAGAUAAGGCAUCAAAUGCGUACGCUCAUCAGACCCCAUGAAAGGUGUUGGUUGCUAUAGACAGCAGGACGGUGGCCAUGGAAGUCGGAAUCC
rnacentral:rRNA from 1 species